rnacentral:misc_RNA from 1 species
UCGAGUUUAAACACUCCAAACCCAUGUGAACAUACCUAUUGUUGCUUCGGCGGGAUCGCCCCGGGCGCCGUUGCGUGCCCCGGAAUCAGGCGCCCGCCGGAGAACCUCAACUCUUGUUUUCUUAUAGUGGCAUUAUCUGAGUAGCUUAACAAGCAAAUAAAUGAAUCA